AUGGAGACGCCGCCUCCACCACCCGCGGUGCCGUCCGUUCUCGCCCACCUGCGGUCCCUCCUCUCCGCCGCCUCUUCCGCUCUAUCCUCCCUCCCUUCCCCACUCCUCCCCUGCUCCACCACCACCACGGCGACCAUCGCCACCUCCUCCACACUCCCCGCACCUGCGCCCACCACCCCGCUCCCAUCUUUCCCCUCUUCACCGACCUCCGAAAUCCCCCUCCCCCUCCCGGCUGCGCCCGUCCCCUACCACGACUGCCCAGCCGUCGUCCGCACCACCAACCAACCGCCCGCCUCGUCCUCCCUCCCCGCCUUCCUCGCCGCCGAGUGCGCAGACUUCGCCUCCUCCACUGCCGCCCCAACCCUCUCCUCUCCUCCCCGCAUCCUCCCGUCUGAGCUCUGCCUCCUGCGUCGGGAGGUGGACUCCUGGGGCAGCCACCAUCCCCCCGGGGCGUACUCCUACGCUGUGGCCCGCGUGGUGGAGGCACUGCGGUUAGGUGCCCUGCAGUGGGAAGUCGAGCUGCGGCGCUGGUUGCUCGCGAGCUCACCGAGAUAUGGUAUCGUGAUUGACGCGGCCAGUCGAGACCAUGUGUUUGUGCUGGUCAGGCUGUGUCUGAAGGCGGCGGCGGCGGAGGCAGGGUGCUCGCUGGAACGCCUGCCCAAGGGGGAGAGCGAGGAGUUUCGUCUUGAUCCGAGGGCUGUGCGGUUCGAGUGCCCCAGGCUGGUUGAUGGUGUCUCAUGGUUGGCGAGGCAGCUCGAGGUUUUGUAUGGGAAGGGCAAUGGCUGGUUCUUCGCGAUUACGGCGGUGAAGGAGGCAAUUCUUAGGUUGGGGUCUUGUUUGGCUGUCGGUGUUGGAGAUGGUGUUGCUGGAGGCGCUAGUGAAAAAGGAUGUGAGUUGAGAGAUACUGGGACAUGCCCUAUUUUUGUCUCCCAGGUUGUUGCUGCCAUUGCAGCCUUACAUGAGAGGUUGUCCCUGGAUAAGAAGAUUAGGGCUCUGCAAGCACCACGCCCAUCCAAAUAUCAGCUGUUACUUGAAUAUUCACAAAUACUGAAGCAAGGCUGUGAUGAGCGUUCAAAGCGACCAAACUACAGAGCUGUUCUGGAUUAUGAUGGAAUUCUACCACGUCAAAUGGAUAACCAGGAAUCUGGUUGGUCCAAGACAAGGGAGGAGCUGCUAGCUGAAGAACGGGAUUACAAGAGAAGAAGAAUGUCUUACCGUGGGAAGAAAAUGAAGCGAAAUCCAACAGAGAUAUUAAGAGACAUAAUUGAUGAGCACAUGGCGGAAAUAAAACAAGCAGGUCUGCGGGAACCUCCUGGUGACAUUGCACAAAAUAUACUUGAGACCAAUUCUAGUGGAGGCGCUUACCAAGGAAGCUCUUGUGAUAAGGCUAUUUUGGGUUCUCGAUUACCUAGUCGUGAGAACUCACCACAUACUGCAUCAAGGAGCCAUGACACAAAGGAUUCAUAUAUGAACAUAAGAUAUGAAAAUAGUGCACAUCAUCACCAAAAUGUAUCUGAGCAUGAGAAAGGAGGGAUCAGAGAAUCAGGAAAUGCAACGAAUCGAGGCUAUUCUGACCGGCAUGAUUACACACAUAAAAGAAACACCAAUGAUCAUAGGAAAUAUGGUAAUAAGUAUAAAAAGAACAUCCCAGAUUACCAUUCUGAAUCAAGUGAUCGUUCAGCAUGGUCCACACGAACACCAAAAUCCUCAGAAAGAGAAUACGGUGGCAUGCCAGGAGAUAAAAGCAAUGAUAGAACCAGAACUACUCAGAACAGACAUGGAUCAAUACCUGGGAACGAAGACCAGUUCAGUGAUAGAUAUGAUCCCAAAAGCAGAUAUUCUGAUGAGGAUCUUCGUGAAGCAUACCAUGAUGCGUGA
rnacentral:rRNA from 1 species